rnacentral:lncRNA from 14 species
CUCUACCAUCCUAAAAGCAAGUGUAAGCCAUGCCUGAGGUGCUGGACUGGGUUGGCCUUGGGAUGGCUGCGGUACAUGAGGCAGACUGCAGCCUGAGCCUCCCUCCCCACCUCUCCCCACCCAUGGCAGGAGCUGAUCCGAAAGGGCAUCCCACACCACUUCCGGGCCAUCGUUUGGCAGCUCCUGUGCAGUGCCACAGAUAUGCCCGUCAAAAACCAGUACUCCGAGCUCCUCAAGAUGUCCUCACCAUGUGAGAAGCUGAUCCGAAGGGACAUUGCCCGCACCUAUCCAGAGCAUGAGUUCUUCAAAGGCCAGGACAGCCUGGGCCAGGAAGUCCUCUUCAAUGUCAUGAAGGCAUACUCCCUGGUUGAUCGGGAGGUUGGAUAUUGCCAAGGCAGUGCCUUCAUUGUGGGCUUACUCCUCAUGCAGGUAAGUUGCCCUGGCUCCAUCCCCAAGAUGUACAUAAGAGCAUUCCCUGAAUGUAGUGACCUGCUAGGGCCAGAUACUUUACCGUGCAGGACAGGAACAGGGCUUAAGGAGCGUUGGGGGGGUUGGGGAUUUAGCUCAGCGGUAGAGCGCUUGCCUAGCAAGCGCAAGGCCCUGGGUUCGAUCCCCAGCUCCGAAAAAAAGAAAAGAAAAAAAAAAAAAAGGAGCGUUGGGACAGGGAAGAACCACAGGCUAACGAUUUAGGGGGUUAUAGAGGUUUACAGGGAAACCAGAAGAAACCAGAAGAAACCUCCAGAGAAACCAGAAGACUUAGGGAGAAAAGAGAUAGCUAGGUGUGAACAGGUAUGUCUCAAUCAGGGAGAUGAGACUGAGGCACUAGAAAGGUUUAAGUACAGCUCCAUUGUUUCCCAUUAGUGGCCCUCAGCAAAUAACUUCAGCCACAGGUCUUCCAUCACUGAAUAGUAUUGACCAUAUUUAUGGUUUGUAGGAUGGGUCCCAGUAGCCAGGUACAAUUACAAUAAAUAUAAAUGGAACAGAAACAUGCCCCUGUGUAACACUGUCCAGAGCCCAAGCAUGGCUUCCCAUUCACACAUACACUCACACACAUUGCUGGUCCCUCCAGAUGCCUGAGGAAGAGGCCUUCUGUGUGUUUGUGCGGCUGAUGCAGGAGUACCGGCUACGGGAGCUCUUCAAGCCCAGCAUGGCCGAGCUGGGACUCUGUAUCUACCAGUUUGAAUACAUGCUGCAGGUAAGCAGGCCAGGGAUGACCACCCUGAGGUUAUCUCCAGAACACCCCUAAACUGGAAAUUCUAGACCUAAGAAAUUACCCUUGGGAGCUGAGACUAUGGCUCAGUUGGUAGGAUCUUUGCCCAUCAUGCACAAAGUCCUGAACACCACCCCUAGAACUUUAUAAACUGGGCACGGCAGUACACAUCUGUCAUCCUAUGACUUAGGAGUCGAGGUAGAGGGUCAGAAAUUCAAGGUCAGUCUCAGCUACAUGGGAAGUUCAAACCAGCCUGAGUUACAUGAAACCCUCUCUGGAAAGAAGUGGGUGGUCAACAUGCCUGGAGCCUGGUAAGGUGGUAACACCUUCAUGAUCGUAGUG